rnacentral:rRNA from 1 species
UACGUAGGGUGCACGCGUUGUCCGGAAUUAUUGGGCGUAACGCGCUCGUAGGCGGUCUGUCACGUCGGCUGUGAAAUCCCGAGGCUCAACCUCGGGUCUGCAGUCGAUACGGGCAAACUAGAGUAUUGCAGGGGAGACUGGAAUUCCUGGUGUAGCGGUGAAAUGCGCAGAUAUCAGGAGGAACACCGGUGGCGAAGGCGGGUCUCUGGGCAAUAACUGACGCUGAGGCGCGACAGCGUGGGGAGCAAACAGG